ensembl:lncRNA
CUUGAUUUUACUUUCAAUUCCUUUUACAUUCUCCAAGGUAUUAACAUUAAAAUUUUUCAGAACUCCAUGUAGGACGUUUCUGUACAUAAAUGUAAGCACUGUGGCAGUAGUAAUGCAAUAUUUAGAAAAUGUACUCUUGUACUCUUGAUACUCAAGUACUUUUAAAAACAAGUACUUCAGUACUUUUACUUAAGUAGACAUCUGACUGUAGUACUUUUACUUGUACUUGAGUAAAAUUUAGCAAGGGGUCUCUGUACUUUUACUCAAGUAAUGAAGCUGUGUACUCUGUCCGCCUCUGUAUUUGACAUAUUGACACCAAACUUUGUAUGUGCCAUUGUCACCUCAUACUGACCAGGCCCAAUUUGGUAACAGCGCCAUCUAUUGGUCAAACGUGAUAAGCCAAUAAAUCAUGUUACUAGAGAUUGUAUUUAUGAUUUUUCAGCCGUUUUGACUAAAAUCAUCCUAAAAUGGCUUCACUUACUCAUUUCUGCAGUUGGUCUGAUGCUCCAUGCCAUGCUUAGCUCCUCAAUUUGCCUUUGGCGUGCUUGGCCCCGCAGUUGCUAUAUUUUUAGUGUUUUUAUUAUUUGUUUGUCUGCACUAUGUUUGGACUUUCUGUACUAAUAGCUCCUAACACCAAGACGAAUGUCUUGUGUGUGUAAACACACUUGGCAAUAAAGCUCAUUCUGAUUCUGAUACUUGCGUAAAAUUCUUCACUUUAAUGAUUGGUUUGUAAGAUGAUCUCUGUCUUCCUCUGUUUGUCUCUUUCUAGUCUAAUCUGCUGUGGUGUUACAGAUGUUUCUUCUUUAACUCAGUCUUUGGUAAACAUGAAAACACAGCCGUUUUUAAAAGAGCUUGAUCUGAGAAACAAUAUGAUUGGAGACUCAAAGCAGCAGCUCAUUGAUGUAUUACGAGACUCAAACUGUAACCUGAGAGUAGAUAGAGAUCAAUCACCUAGUGUCCAUGGUAGAUCAUUUACAUCAUGGUUUAAAUCUUUGAAGUCGACAUGAGAGGAGCAGUACAUCAGGUGAGGAUGCACAGAAGAGCUUCACUACUGUGUCUAUGAGGAGAAAUAAAUAUAUUAUAUACAGGUGGAAGACA